UCCACCCCGGGCCGCCCAGGGGCACGCCGGGAUUUGUUGUGUGUGGAGAGCGGCUACCGUGGGUUGCCGGGAGUUGCAGUUCCAGCGGACUACAGCUAACAUGGCUGCCUCGGCUUAGCCGGCUGGAGCUCCCUGGAGGACUCAUCUGGUGAGCCUUGAAUGUGAAAAGGUGGAGCCUACGGGAUUCAUGAAUGGGAUUAACGCCCUUUUGGAAGACUCAAGAUAACUCCCUUGGCGCUUAUACCAGAGAUGCUCCUCAUUAAAUGCCUGAUUGCUCACGUCAUCCACCAAAUAUCCUCUUCUACCAAGUCUCAACAGAUGGUUCAGCUCGUCCUUAAUAAACAAAGGGCAAUCAAAUGAGAAAUGGACUUACAUUGUUCGGAGAAAAGAAAAAUGUCUCUUCUUCCUGUCUCUUACUGUUCGUUGCAGCUAACAUCAGAA